rnacentral:rRNA from 1 species
UCAUGGCCUUUAUAUCCUGGGCUACACACACGCUACAAUGGCAGAUACAAUAGGUUGCGAACCGCGAGGUGGAGCCGAAUCCUCAAAGUCUGUCUCAGUUCAGAUUGUAGGCUGCAACUCGCCUGCAUGAAGUUGGAGUUGCUAGUAAACGCAGGUCAGCUAUACUGCGUUGAAUACGUUCCCGGGGCUU